rnacentral:rRNA from 1 species
AUUGAACGCUGGCGGCAGGCUUAACACAUGCAAGUCGAGCGGAGAUGAGGUGUUUGCGCCUUAUCAUAGCGGCGGACGGGUGCGUAAUGCUUAGGAAUCUGCCUAUUAGUGAGGGACAACAUUCCGAAAGGAAUGCUAAUACCGCAUACCUCCUACGGGAGAAAGCAGGGGAUCUGCGGACCUUGCGCUAAUAGAUGAGCCUAAGUCGGAUUAGCUAGUUGGUGGGGUAAAGGACUACCAAGGCGACGAUCUGUAGCGGGUCUGAGAGGAUGAUCCGCCACACUGGGACUUAGACGCGGCCCAGACUCCUACGGGAGGCAGCAGUGGGGAAUAUUGGACAAUGGGGGAAACCCUGAUCCAGCCAUGCCGCGUGUGUGAAGAAGGCCUUAUGGUUGUAAAGCACUUUAAGCGAGGAGGAGGCUACUGAGACUAAUACUCUUGGAUAGUGGACGUUACUCGCAGAAUAAGCACCGGCUAACUCUGUGCCAGCCGCCGCAGUAACAC